AAGAGUUUGAUCCUGGCUCAGGAUGAACGCUGGCGGCACGCCUAACACAUGCAAGUCGAACGGCCUUCGGGUUAGUGGCAAACGGGUGAGUAAUGUAUAAGUAACUUGCUCUUAAGACUGGGAUAACGUUCCGAAAGGGGCGCUAAUACCAGAUACGCUCCAAGAUACCUAAGUAUUUUGGAGGAAAUGAAUUUCGCUUAAGAAGAGGCUUAUAUCUGAUUAGUUUGUUGGUGGGGUAAUGGCCUACCAAGACUACGAUCAGUAGCUGGUCUGAGAGGAUGAUCAGCCACACUGGGACUGAGACACGGCCCAGACUCCUACGGGAGGCAGCAGUGGGGAAUAUUGCGC
rnacentral:rRNA from 1 species